AUUGAACGCUGGCGGCAGGCCUAACACAUGCAAGUCGAGCGGAUGGAGGGAGCUUGCUCCUGGAUUCAGCGGCGGACGGGUGAGUAAUGCCUAGGAAUCUGCCUGGUAGUGGGGGAUAACGUCCGGAAACGGGCGCUAAUACCGCAUACGUCCUGAGGGAGAAAGUGGGGGAUCUUCGGACCUCACGCUAUCAGAUGAGCCUAGGCCGGAUUAGCUAGUUGGUGGGGUAAAGGCCUACCAAGGCGACGAUCCGUAACUGGUCUGAGAGGAUGAUCAGUCACACUGGAACUGAGACACGGUCCAGACUCCUACGGGAGGCAGCAGUGGGGAAUAUUGGACAAUGGGCGAAAGCCUGAUCCAGCCAUGCCGCGUGUGUGAAGAAGGUCUUCGGAUUGUAAAGCACUUUAAGUUGGGAGGAAGGGCAGUAAGUUAAUACCUUGCUGUUUUGACGUUACCAACAGAAUAAGCACCGGCUAACUUCGUG
rnacentral:rRNA from 1 species